rnacentral:rRNA from 1 species
GUCUAUAGCCAUACCACCCUGAAUGUACCUGAUUUCAUCUGAUCUCAGAAGCUAAGCAGGGUUGGGGCUGGGGUGGGAAAAAUAUCCAGUGGACACUGACU